UCUGGAGAUCUCCUCCACUGAAGUGACAGACUCUGCUCUGUACUACUGUGCUCUGAGGCCCAUAGUGACAGGAAAACAAAAAACACUGUACAAAAACCUGACAACAUACAGUAUACUGUAGAAAGAAAUCCAUAACAUAAAACAUGUAAUGUUGGUGUCAAGAGGAGGGGCUGUAUAAUCAAAGACCCACAUGUAGCUUAUGGAUGUUUUGUUCAGGAAGUAGCUAGUUAGUCAGGUCUCUCAGGGAUGUCUGUCGGUUUCUCAAAGGUCUAGCAAGAUGUUUUUCUUCUCAUUUGUUCUCUUUUCAGGUUUUUUAGGAAACAGUUUUGGGGAUUCAAUAAACCCUGCGACUACAGAAGAACUUGUUCCGGAGGGAAGGAAUGUCCAUCUCUUCUGCAAAUAUGAUGGCACUGUCUACAAUCUGCUGUGGUACCGCCAAUAUCCCAGAUCCAAACCAGAAUUCCUCUUGUACAUCACACCAGAGGGGUCUAUAUUUAAAGCUACUCCCCCACCUCCUCGUCUGACAGUUUCCAUUGACAAAGUGGACAAACGUGUGGAUCUGAAGAUCUCUUCUGCCGAAGUGACAGACACUUCUCUGUACUACUGUGCCAUGAAAACCACAGUGACAGAAAACUCUGACACACUGUACAAAAACCUGUCAAGAACCAUUGGAGGAAACAGACAUCCUGUAUGACAUACAUAACAUACCUACUGAAUGUUAAGGGGAGGAACUUAUGGUAGAGGAUGAUCUGAACAACAGUAUAGAAACAUAAAAA